rnacentral:rRNA from 1 species
CCUACGGGUGGCAGCAGUGAGGAAUAUUGGUCAAUGGACGCAAGUCUGAACCAGCCAUGCCGCGUGCAGGAAGACGGCUCUAUGAGUUGUAAACUGCUUUUGUACGAGGGUAAACGCAGAUACGUGUAUCUGUCUGAAAGUAUCGUACGAAUAAGGAUCGGCUAACUCCGUGCCAGCAGCCGCGGUAAUACGGAGGAUUCAAGCGUUAUCCGGAUUUAUUGGGUUUAAAGGGUGCGUAGGCGGUCGGUUAAGUCAGAGGUGAAAGCCCGAGGCUCAACCAUGGAAUUGCCGCUGAUACUGGUAGGCUAGAGUAUAUUUGAGGCAGGCGGAAUGCGUGGUGUAGCGGUGAAAUGCUUAGAGAUCACGCAGAACACCGAUUGCGAAGGCAGCUUGCCAAGCUAUUACUGACGUUGAUGCACGAAAGCGUGGGGAGCAAACAGGAUUAGAUACCCGUGUAGUC